AAACAGUGCGAAAAGGGGCAUUACGCAAAGCCAAUAAAUCUGCGCAGAUUUUUGUCAAUAUUGACAAUAAACUGCAUGUUUUCUUACCGUUAGUAAUCCGACAGUCCGUUGGUCACAUUGUGCAUUAGUCCGUUUAAGUUAUUAUUGCCUUACACUUUUCAAUAUAAAUUUAUGAACUUUAAACAAAAUAAGUAACUAACUAAGUAACUAUUUAACUGACUAACACGCGCGUUUUUUUCCCAAUAUCCGAGACAUUUUACUUUCGCACCUUGCCCUCAAUGUCUGGCUUUUAAAGUUUACCGCCUUUUUGCGAAUACAAUGACGUUUACAUAUGAAUUGCCCAAUGAAAAUUUCGGCGGGAUGACGUCAGGCGCCAAAACUGGCGCGUGGUUUUUCCCGGUAUAGACCCAGUGUGUCAACGCUGUAAAUGCAUUGUGGGAAACGGACUAUUUCCAGCAUGGCGCCCGUAAAGAUUAUGAACACGGAAGUAAAAAUAGUAAUAAAUUAUUAUCAAAAACAGGCCUCAUCAAACCGGGUCAGCCAUGAUAUAUUCUUGGAUGCAGUUUGUGCUUCAAAAGGAGCUACUUUUCAUGCCAGCCUAUCGAUACUAUGUGGGAACUGGGAUUCGGGAUGCUCUCCCACUGGUAUCAUAUGCAGAUCAGUGGUCACAAGAACGUACACAACAUCAUUAAUGUCAGCAAUAUAUAUCUCCAACUUCAAACACACAGCUUGCAAAAUCGCUGAAUAUUGCACAAAAGCAGCUUCGUUACAAACUUCCAGCAACUCGAAAUCCACAAGCAGUCUCGUUCCCCACCCACUUUGACUUCGUAGCGAAGGCAUGUUUUUUUUGGGAAACCGUUAACAUCUCACAACUAAACGUAUACUACGGAGAUUGACAAGUUGAAAAAUAAAUUACUGUAAUCACUUCCAAUUUGCGCACUAAGUUAAACUCCAGUUCCAGUUUGUCUUUAUUGUUGAAAUGUUACUCUACACAUUCGCUUUGAAAAUAGAGGUUGGCGUGUUGUUGGAAGUACAUGUACAUGUCGAAUGUGUUAUUGUAAAAACUAUUGGUAUUGUGUUUUUAGUGCAGACAUUGUAUUUAAGUUUCGAUUUCUAGCAUAAAUUUAUAUAUUUUGUUAAAUAAUUUGCGUUUGAAUGUGAUUGUUUGUUGCUUACUUGCGAACUAUUUUUUAUGUGUAAAUAUGCAUAGACGCUAGUGGAUAUGUAAUCAGGUUACCAUAUUUACAACAAUAAAAUUUAACGGCUGUU